rnacentral:rRNA from 1 species
GUGCCAGCCGCUGCGGUAAUACGUAGGGGCAAGCGUUGUCCGGAAUUAUUGGGCGUAAAGCGCUCGCAGGCGGUUCCUUAAGUCUGAUGUGAAAGCCCACGGCUCAACCGUGGAGGGUCAUUGGAAACUGGGGAACUUGAGGAUAGAAGAGGAGAGUGGAAUUCCACGUGUAGCGGUGAAAUGCGUAGAUAUGUGGAGGAACACCAGUGGCGAAGGCGACUCUCUGGUCUGUCUCUGACGCUGAGGAGCGAAAGCGUGGGUAGCAAACAGGAUUAGAUACCCUGGUAGUCCACGCCGUAAACGAUGAGUGCUAGGUGUAGGGGCUUCCACCCUUAGUGCUGAGUUAACGCAUUAAGCACUCCGCCUGGGGA